AUUAUCCAAGUCAUAUGAAAAGUUUUGCCCUCCGUGCCAAUAAACAGCUUCAAAAUAGACAAAACAUAACAAUUAAAAUCAAUGCAAACAAUCUCAUCACAUAAAAUUGAAGAAACUCUUUGCAAACAAAGUUUAGAUUUUCUUAUGUGACAUUAUACUAACUAGUGAAAAUUUAGCCCUUAAUUUAAAUCUACAGAGAGAUCGAGAAUUUAAAUAAUAGAAGAAAAAAAAUUAUGGAG
rnacentral:lncRNA from 1 species